rnacentral:rRNA from 1 species
GACGAACGCUGGCGGCGCGCUUAACACAUGCAAGUCGAACGGAAGGGCCUGCUUUCCCUUGUGGAUUGCGGGUACUCGAGUGGCGAACGGGUGAGUAACACGUGAGUGAUCUGCCCCCAACUUGGGUAUAAGCCUGGGAAACUGGGUCUAAUUCCCGAUAGGACUGCAGGGUGGUGCCUGUGGUGGAAAACGAUUUUCUAGUGGUUGGGGAUGAGCUCGCGGCCUAUCAGCUUGUUGGUGGGGUAAUGGCCUACCAAGGCGGCGACGGGUAGCCGGCCUGAGAGGGUGGACGGCCACAGUGGGACUGAGAUACGGCCCAGACUCCUACGGGAGGCAGCAGUGGGGAAUAUUGCACAAUGGGCGGAAGCCUGAUGCAGCGACGCCGCGUGGGGGAUGACGGCCUUCGGGUUGUAAACUCCUUUCGACCGCGAGGAAGCCACCUGGUUGGAAGGGUGGUGACGGUAGUGGUAGAAGAAGCACCGGCUAACUACGUG